rnacentral:rRNA from 1 species
GACGAACCGUGCGAACGUUAUUCGGAAUCACUGGGCUUAAAGCGCGUGUAGGCGGGCCGGCACGUCCGGUGCUGAAAGCCCCCGGCUCAACCGGGGAACGGGCACGGAUACGGCCGGCCUGGAGGGGGGUAGGGGGACCUGGAACUUCCGGUGGAGCGGUGAAAUGCGUUGAGAUCGGAAGGAACGCCCGUGGCGAAGGCGCUCUGCUGGACCAUAACUGACACUCAGGGACGAAAGCUAGGGGAGCGAAUGGG